CCUACGGGAGGCUGCAGUGGGGAAUAUUGGACAAUGGGGGGAACCCUGAUCCAGCCAUGCCGCGUGUGUGAAGAAGGCCCUCGGGUUGUAAAGCACUUUCAGUGAGGAAGAACGCCUGGUGGUUAAUACCCAUCAGGAAAGACAUCACUCACAGAAGAAGCACCGGCUAACUCCGUGCCAGCAGCCGCGGUGAUACGGAGGGUGCGAGCGUUAAUCGGAAUUACUGGGCGUAAAGCGCGCGUAGGUGGCUUGAUAAGCCGGUUGUGAAAGCCCCGGGCUCAACCUGGGAACGGCAUCCGGAACUGUCAAGCUAGAGUGCAGGAGAGGAAGGUAGAAUUCCCGGUGUAGCGGUGAAAUGCGUAGAGAUCGGGAGGAAUACCAGUGGCGAAGGCGGCCUUCUGGACUGACACUGACACUGAGGUGCGAAAGCGUGGGUAGCAAACAGGAUUAGAUACCCUGGUAGUC
rnacentral:rRNA from 1 species